CACGUAGGGUGCGAGCGUUGUCCGGAAUUAUUGGGCGUAAAGAGCUCGUAGGCGGUGUGUCGCGUCGACUGUGAAAACCUGCGGCUCAACCGUGUGGUCUGCAGUCGAUACGGGCAGGCUGGAGUUCGGUAGGGGAGACUGGAAUUCCUGGUGUAGCGGUGAAAUGCGCAGAUAUCAGGAGGAACACCGGUGGCGAAGGCGGGUCUCUGGGCCGAUACUGACGCUGAAGAGCGAAAGCGUGGGGAGCGAACAGG
rnacentral:rRNA from 1 species